CACAAGAAACCCUUCCAACCUGCGACCCACAGAUGUAGACCCACACGUAUUCAUGCAUAGCUGGCGGAGAGAAAUGUUCCAGGACUUCGUACUGUUAUGCAGCGUUUUACGACCCAAGUGUUUCUUUUACGAUGAUCUUCACUGAGGAUGAUGAAAAGCACAGUUGAGGUUUUAGCGGUUUCUUAAACCACUGCGGUAAAUCACGGUACAUAUGGUUGGGAGACGCGUGGACAUGCCAGCUGACCCUGUCCGUUUAUCUGCACGCCUGUCAGUCUUAUUUAACUCGCUCGGUGGCACAGUGGCUGGUCAGUUCAUACGGGAGCCCAUGGACAUGUUGCUGCUGUCACCGCACAGCUUUCCGUGACCCGAUGAGGAGCCACCGGCCUACAGAAACCUGUGAGACUCAUGCUGUGUGCGUACGUGUCUGGGAGGGCUGACGGGAGGGAACGCCACAGAGGGUUGGUCAUCACGCAGUCCAGUGGAAACCAGCACCGAGUGAAAACCCCCAUAGAUAGAUUCACCAGCAUGGAGAGAGGGCGGUGCAGCUGAGCCCAUAUAAACAGGGCCGAGCCAACAGCAGCAGGCAGCCCUCAUGUUCAGUGCCUGGAGAGCUUUGGGCCACGUUACACCCGCCACUUUCCUUCGCUGUCUUUCUGUUUGAUCCACGCUGUUCUCCUUAUCUGAUUCAUCCACUCAGAGAGGAGAUGUUAUCAUGGAGGUCCCAACCAUCUGUUGCACUGAUACAGUGUCUUCUUGGGCUCUUGUCCCCCACAACCACCUAUACACACUGCUCCUCACUCUCUCCACCCCCCUGGCUGAUUCCCUAACUUCAUUGGAAAAAGUGAGGUCAGCACCACUUCCACAUUAAAACACUGCUUUCUUAAAGUUGCCAUGCAUUUGAGGUGGAUGUGGAGGCUGACAGAACCGCGUCUGUAACUGACCAGGAAUGAGCCAAACUCCAAAAUCAUAACCUGUAAUAAAGGAACCAU